AGAUUGAACGCUGGCGGCAGGCCUAACACAUGCAAGUCGAGCGGCAGCACGGGUACUUGUACCUGGUGGCGAGCGGCGGACGGGUGAGUAAUGCCUAGGAAUCUGCCUGAUAGUGGGGGAUAACGUUCGGAAACGGACGCUAAUACCGCAUACGUCCUACGGGAGAAAGUGGGGGAUCUUCGGACCUCACGCUAUCAGAUGAGCCUAGGUCGGAUUAGCUAGUUGGUAGGGUAAAGGCCUACCAAGGCUACGAUCCGUAACUGGUCUGAGAGGAUGAUCAGUCACACUGGAACUGAGACACGGUCCAGACUCCUACGGGAGCAGCAGUGGGAAUAUUGGACAAUGGGCAAAGCCUGAUCCAGCCAUGCCGCGUGUGUGAAGAAGGUCUACGGAUU
rnacentral:rRNA from 1 species